rnacentral:rRNA from 1 species
GAUGAACGCUGGCGGCGUGCUUAACACAUGCAAGUCGAACGAUGAAGCCCAGCUUGCUGGGUGGAUUAGUGGCGAACGGGUGAGUAACACGUGAGUAACCUGCCCUUAACUCUGGGAUAAGCCUGGGAAACUGGGUCUAAUACCGGAUAGGAGCGUCCACCGCAUGGUGGGUGUUGGAAAGAUUUAUCGGUUUUGGAUGGACUCGCGGCCUAUCAGCUUGUUGGUGAGGUAAUGGCUCACCAAGGCGACGACGGGUAGCCGGCCUGAGAGGGUGACCGGCCACACUGGGACUGAGACACGGCCCAGACUCCUACGGGAGGCAGCAGUGCGGAAUAUUGCACAAUGGGCGCAAGCCUGAUGCAGCGACGCCGCGUGAGGGAUGACGGCCUUCGGGUUGUAAACCUCUUUCAGUAGGGAAGAAGCGAAAGUGACGGUACCUGCAGAAGAAGCACCGGCUAACUACGUG